rnacentral:misc_RNA from 1 species
GUAGAUAGCUGAGCAAGCUGGUCUGGCCGCAGUCACGUUCACUGCUUGGCAACGCUGCUGCCUCCCUGCUCCCGCCUGAGCUCAGCCGUCACUGCGCGCCGGAUACGUAAAGACAUGGCUCUGAAAGCGUCCAUGAACACCUUCAUUUGGCGCUGGCCAUCCAGGUUGCAUAUACACGCUACGCAGCGACGAUUGGUCUCUAAAGGACUUUUCGUCAUCUCUGACGAAGUGGCUGCUGCACUAAAUGAUGUCCGUCCUGUUGUCGCCCUGGAGACAAGCAUCGUAACCCAUGGAAUGCCUUACCCUGAAAAUAUCAGUGUGCAGAAAGAGCUAGAAGACAUCGUUCGAGAGCAUGGUGCAGUCCCCGCAACGGUCGGCGUUUACUGUGGGAGUCUUCACGUUGGUUUGGACAUGAAACGCCUGGAGCACAUGGCGGAAGUGGGAACUAAGGCAGCGAAGAUAUCACGACGCGACCUGCCUGCUGCUCUCUCGAAGGGCCUCUCCGGGGGAACCACAGUGUCGGCAACCAUGGUCGCGUGCAACCGGGCUGGAAUACAACUGUUUGCUACAGGAGGCAUCGGUGGAGUGCACAGGGGUGGAGAGUUCAGUUUGGACAUAAGUCCGGACGUCAUGGAACUUGGUCGCAGUCCUGUCACUGUAGUGUCGUCCGGAAUCAAGUCAAUCCUGGACAUAGGCCGCACGCUCGAAGUCCUGGAGACCGAAGGCGUGUGCGUGGCAACUUUCGGGGAGAGCCAGGAGUUUCCAGCUUUCUUCGCCAUCCGCAGCGGCCAUCGAGCACCCUGGCGUGUUGCUGACGCCACCGAGGCUGCUUCCCUCAUAGGCCCCAAGAUGCUCCCCUGAGGGACUCCUGAGAGGACAGGGCGCAUGGUAGAUUGUGGACUUCUCAAACGGACAAAUUGAUGGCGCCCAUGAAGAGAGCCGAAAUGCCCUGCACCUCGACAGUGGGGUCCUCAUUGCGGUUCCGAUUCCGAAGGAAUUCGAAGCAGACGGACAAGCC